UACGAAGGGGGCUAGCGUUGUUCGGAAUUACUGGGCGUAAAGCGCGCGCAGGCGGCUUCUCAAGUCAGGGGUGAAAGCCCAGAGCUCAACUCUGGAACUGCCUUUGAAACUGUGGAGCUUGAGUACGGGAGAGGUGAGUGGAAUUCCCAGUGUAGAGGUGAAAUUCGUAGAUAUUGGGAAGAACACCGGUGGCGAAGGCGGCUCACUGGCCCGUUACUGACGCUCAGGCGCGACAGCGUGGGGAUCAAACAGG
rnacentral:rRNA from 1 species